rnacentral:piRNA from 1 species
CACACGGAGAAACGCUGUCAGAA